UAGCAUUCGAAUUGGUUGACUGAGUAAAGAUCAACCUCACCAGUGUGUGUGGGCUUCAUGCAAUCCCCUGAAGGCCUGAAUAGAACAAAAGGCAGAGGAAAGGAUUACUCCACAGCGAGUACUGGAAGGAUGUUUGUCUUAUCACUGUAUCCCCAGUGCCUGACAUAAUAUGACUGUUAUCACUUCUGUUUUACACAAAAGAAAUUGGAAGCACCAGGAAGCUUAGCGACCUGCCUGAUGUCCCAGAGCUAUUAAUGGUCACAACUUUGGCAAUUGUCUCUUCUUACGUCCUGGUUCUGGGAAACAAGAAGAUUGCUCAGCCUUACUCCAAGGACACGUGUUCCACAGGACACAAGAUGAGAAAACAUUGGUCUAAGAUGCACGUGGGAUCUUAGCUCCCCCACCAGGGAAAGGACCUACGCCCCCUGCAUUGGAAGGUGAAGUCUUAAACACUGGACUGCCAGGGAAGUCCCCCAUAAAGGCUCAUUGCUUUUUAAUCACAUUUUACACAGAUUUCUGCCUUCUUCUAAAAAUUAAAAAAAUAUGACCCAUCUUCAUGUAGCACGUUCUCAUCAGCAAUAAUCAGUUGGAACUGAAGAUUCAUUUUUAGCGCACAUUCCAGACCUCCACACUGUUGGCUCGUGUGAAAUCAGAUCGGGUAUAUCAAACAAAAGGAAGUGUGAACAUGACUGAAACUACUGAUAGGAAGACAGAAGUCUCUAGUAUAAAAUCUAUGAAAAUAUGGAUUGAAUUCAACAAAUAUAUAGGAACCAUUAAAGGCUUCCAAGCGUGAGGGUAUCAGGAUGAGAUCUGCACUUCAGGAAGAGUGUGGGCUUUUGUUUUUCUUGUUCUCUGACACACAUUGCCAGCCACGGCCUACCAGGAUCUUCUCCCCCAGAACAUGUAACUUAAGGAGGCAUUGCGUCUGUUUCCCUCAGUACCCCAGGCUGACAUUUCACAAAGUACUUUUCAUCAUGACUUCUGCAGAAGGUCUGAAAAAGCAUCUGAGGCCAUAAUGAAAUUAUCAGAUUUUUAGGGGACCUGCAGCUGAUUCGUGAGCCGCUCCUGGCUCCAGCGAGGCACUGCUGGGGAAGAGACCUGUGAGGUGCUGCGAGAUGGGAGGGACCCAACGGCUGGAGGAGAGAGCAGACUUGCAUCACCACGAAAAC